rnacentral:rRNA from 1 species
AAGUCAGAUGUGAAAGCCCGGGGCUCAACCUCGGAAUUGCAUUUGAAACUGGCAAACUAGAGUACUGUAGAGGGGGUAGAAUUUCAGGUGUAGCGGUGAAAUGCGUAGAGAUCUGAAGGAAUACCGGUGGCGAAGGCGGCCCCCUGGACAGAUACUGACACUCAGAUGCGAAAGCGUGGGGAGCAAACAGGAUUAGAUACCCUCGGUAA